UACGUAGGGACCGAGCGUUGUCCGGAAUCAUUGGGCGUAAAGAGCGUGUAGGCGGCUAUUUAAGUCCUGCGUGAAAUCCUGCGGCUCAACCGCAGACGGUCGUGGGAAACUGGAUGGCUAGAGUGCGGGAGAGGAGAGUGGAAUUCCCGGGUGUAGCGGUGAAAAUGCGCAGAUAUCGGGAAGAACACCCGUGGCGAAGGCGCUCUCGUGGA
rnacentral:rRNA from 1 species